CUACCCCGUUCCUCCAUAUGAUGCUGCUGCUGCUGCUGAUGAUGAUGUGAUGGUUGAUGAGACAGACAGCGAGGACCAAUGUAUCACGUUUUCCAAAAGGCGGAAAUGGUCUUGAAGAAGUGCAUUCGAAGUAUGGCCUCAGGAGACACAAACCUUCGUUUCCAUUUUCCGCGAAGAAAUAAAAAUGCUCAGUAAAAGGUCCUGUGCUGCAGGGGGACUGAGACAGGAAGAAGGGCUAUUUUAUUUCCAUUUUAUCAUCAAUAGAGAACCAGUUUUUCAACAUGAGACGACAAAAUGGCAGGAAGCUGACAACAUGAGAAGUGUGUUUUGAGUAAAAAGCGGAAGGAAACGCUUGGUGAAGUUAAACAAGACAAAAAAAAGGGAAUUUCAAGUAGAAUUGCGGGGGAACAACAACCCUGAAAAUUUGCUCUCACUAAACAG